rnacentral:rRNA from 1 species
UACGUAGGGAGCAAGCGUUGUCCGGAAUCACUGGGCGUAAAGGGCGCGUAGGCGGCUUUUUAAGUCGGGGGUGAAAGCCUGUGGCUCAACCACAGAAUUGCCUUCGAUACUGGAAAGCUUGAGACCGGAAGAGGACAGCGGAACUGCGAGUGUAGAGGUGAAAUUCGUAGAUAUUCGCAAGAACACCAGUGGCGAAGGCGGCUGUCUGGUCCGGUUCUGACGCUGAGGCGCGAAAGCGUGGGGAGCAAACAGG